rnacentral:rRNA from 1 species
AUUGAACGCUGGCGGCAUGCCUUACACAUGCAAGUCGAACGGCAGCACGGGGGCAACCCUGGUGGCGAGUGGCGAACGGGUGAGUAAUGCAUCGGAACGUGCCCAGUAGUGGGGGACAACCAGUCGAAAGAUUGGCUAAUACCGCAUACGACCUAUGGGUGAAAGCGGGGGACCGUAAGGCCUCGCGCUAUUGGAGCGGCCGAUGUCUGAUUAGCUAGUUGGUGAGGUAAAAGCUCACCAAGGCGACGAUCAGUAGCUGGUCUGAGAGGACGAGCAGCCACACUGGGACUGAGACACGGCCCAGACUCCUACGGGAGGCAGAAGUGGGGAAUUUUGGACAUUGGGCGCAAGCCUGAUCCAGCCAUGCCGCGUGCGGGAAGAAGGCCUUCGGGUUGUAAACCGCUUUUGGCAGGAACGAAACGGCGACUUCUAAUAAAGUUUGCUAAUGACGGUACCGUAAGAAUAAGCACCGGCUAACUACGUGCCAGCCGCCGCGGUAAAAC